rnacentral:misc_RNA from 1 species
GAUGAAGAACGCAGCGAAAUGCGAUAAGUAAUGUGAAUUGCAGAAUUCAGUGAAUCAUCGAAUCUUUGAACGCACAUUGCGCCCGCCAGUAUUCUGGUGGGCAUGCCUGUCUGAGCGUCAUUUCAACCCUCAUGCCCCUAGGGCGUGGUGUUGGGGAUCGGCCAAAGCCCGCGAGGGACGGCCGGCCCCUAAAUCUAGUGGCGGACCCGUCGUGGCCUCCUCUGCGAAGUAGUGAUAUUCCGCAUCGGAGAGCGAUGAGCCCCUGCCGUUAAACCCCCAACUUUCCAAGGUUGACCUCAGAUCAGGUAGGAAUACCCGCUGAACUUAAGCAUAUCAAAAGCGGAGGA